rnacentral:rRNA from 1 species
GACGAACGCUGGCGGCGUGCUUAACACAUGCCAGUCGAACGGAAAGGCCCUGCUUUUGUGGGGUGCUCGAGUGGCGAACGGGUGAGUAACACGUGUGUAACCUCCCCUUGACUUUGGGAUAUCUUCAGGAAACUGGGGCUAAUACCGGAUAGGAGCUCCUGCUGCACGGUGGGGGUUGGAAAGUUACGGCGGUUGGGGAUGGACUCGCUGCUUAUCAGCUUGUUUGUGUGGUAGUGGCUUACCAAGGCUUUGACAGAUAGCCGGCCUGAGAGGGUGACCGGCCACAUGAGGCCUACGAUACGCCCCAGAAUCCUACGUGAGGCAGCAGACGGAAAUAUUACACAAUGGGCGCAAGCCUGAUGUAACAACCCCGGGUGCGGGAUGACGGCCUUCGGGUUGUAAACCACUUUCGCCUGUACCGAAGCCUGAGUGACGGUACUGGGUAAGAAAGCAACGGCUAACUACGUG